AAUUUUUAAAAGUAAUAAUAGCAUACACAUAUACAUAUUUAAAAACCAUAUUAAAAAAAAUGACACAAAUAAAUAAUUUUAAUGACUCAAAACAAAUUAAUUUAACUAGAUAAAAAAAAUCUAAAAUUUGUUAAGAUUAAUUUGAUAAAAAAAACAAAAAAAAUGGAUGAAAAUGAAUUGAGAAAUCGGGUGAAAAAAAUGAUUGAAAAAUUAAAAUGAAUGCGUUAUAAUGACCGCCGCGAAAUAAACUUCUCGGAAACAUACAAGUUUGGAUCAAAUUUUGAG
rnacentral:lncRNA from 1 species